CUUUGCUUGAAUCCUGAAUUGAGCUGUUUAAACAGGUCAACAAGGUCAGGAGCUGUACUCCCUAAUCCUUUGCCACAUGGAGGACCCCUCAAGAAAUCUUCAGAAAGUGAGCUACCAGGUGCAGUGUCCUUUGGACCAUGGCCAAGCCAGUCAGAAAGACACUUGCUGAGGCAAAGAUGGAGGUGUCAAGGCUAGAGAUAAGAAUGAAGAAAGAAACCAAUGAGGCAAGAUGGGGGUCAAGACAAAUUAGACAGACGUGGACCAAGGCCCAGCCACACAGCAGGGUCUGCACAAAAUAAAUCACGCUGAUGGCAGACUCAGGCCCACAGGCCUCUUUUAAACAGAUCUGGCAUACUCUCGAGGAUCUGGGUAGGGUGAGGAAAGAGCCUAACGCGAUGAGCUCUGCCAGCCAAAUGCCUGCCUUCUCCUUCUGCCCUAUUUCCCUCUGAGUAAACUGCUAUGACUCAUGUAAAAGAAAAAAAUUCCCCCAAUACAGCAGUCAGAUCCAGCAGAACCCUUCUGAGUCACCAAUCCUGACACCCUGAACCAUGCCAGGGGCAUUUCUAUGAAAAUGAGUUGUCUCAUUUUAAAAUAUGUUUUUUUAUUAUUUUCUUAUUUCCAAGUAAUACACAGUAAUCGUAGCAAAUUUGGAAAAUGCAAAAAAAUAAAAAGAAACAAGAAUCGAUCACAAAUAUACCACUUAUACCCUGUUGGAUUUUCAUCGAUGUGCUUUUUACUUCACCAUUCCAAGAUGACUGCUGUAGCUCCAGGCAUUGCAUCCUCACCUGAGAACAGUGUUCUCACCAACUAGUUAGAAGAGCCAAGGGCAAAAUAAGUUGCUCUGAUAGCCCGCAUUCUCCAAGCUCAGGCAUGACACUACAGGAUUCCUGGAAAAGCUGCGGAAGAUGUCUGACAGCCUUCUCCCAUCCCAUUCCGAAAUCAGAGAACAUGAGCAUAGCUCUUUGUGGCUCCAGCAGGGAGGAGAGGGGUGAGUCACCAGCCCACAGCCUGUCGUCUGCUGAACUGGUGGCUUAAUGCUUGCUGCUAUUGAGCAGGUUGCCACUGGCCACACCAGAGGCCAGGCUGGCCCUGUUCCUAGUAUAGGAAGCUCCAAAGACAGACCCAGGAGCCUAUGCAGCUAGUAGGCUCCUGGUUUCUACCUCCAGGAAAUAGCUCAAGAGACCAAAUAACUCAAGAGGCCAGAGGAGCGAGAAGCUGCCAGGCUCAGCCCCAUUUCCCCGCCUGCCUCUGAGUGUGCUGACUGGACCGCCAGUAGAACUGGCGCAGCCACCUGCCUCACCUGCCUCAGAUGAGCAUGAUGGACGGAUGCUUUUAUGCAGGCCCAUCAUUCACAAAAUCUUACUCUUGAAGAUCCUGGGAGGGGAUCAUGGAAACACAUUCAUUCAUCAAUCGCACAUUUAUUAUUAAGUACUUCCAUAAUAUUGAUUUCUAGCAUCUUGGUCAGUAGCAGGGACACAAUGAUGAAGAACACAUCAUCUUUUCCCUCAAGGAGCUUGCUGUCUAUCAUAAAGACAUAGACGUGAACAAAUCAUUAUAACAUACCAUUGAUGCUAGGCCGGAAGUGUGUCCAAGGUGGGGGAGGUGCGAAGGAGGAGGUGAGUUAUACCUACUUGGGGGAUGAGGAGACUAGGAAAGGCUUCACGGAACAGGUGCUGUCAGAUCCGAAUCUGUUGGCGUUUCCAAACACCAACUUCCUGUGCAUCCCUGAAGCUAUGUCUGACACCAGAGCCAGGUCCUAGCAGUCACUAGCUAGUGUCCAACAGUGGUGGGCCACCCCAGGUCCAAGCCUAUGCAGAAGGCUUUUUAAACCAGAGACAAUGAGUCCAAGCUUAGGAACAUAGAGUGAUCUCUCAGGGUUGAAGACCCAGCCAUCAGAAAGGACAUGGAUUUGAACCCACAGUGGAGUUUCAUUUGGCCUCUGACUUCGUUUCAUUUUCCCAUAACCAGACCCUGAGACAAAGCUAAAUCUUCAGGAAAGGCAGAGUGAAAAGCACAUUUAUUGUAUAUAAUUUUGUGACACCAUUACCUCCGGCUCCUCCCAGGUCGGGGGUAGAAGCAGUGUCCACACCCAACUGUGGAUUUGAAAGAACUUGGUUCCACUGUCAAGGCUAACAGUAAAGAGAGAAUCAGAAAUAUGGUUUAGGACAAGAACCUGUCAAGGGGAGGAAUUUCUCAAAGGUAACAAUUUUCUGUUUCAUUUUAUGAGGAUACUAUGGCUAUUAAGAAUUUAAAUAAGCUGUAUCCUCACUAGUAAAAUUCAUUCUAGGUUUAAAAUUAAACUUCAAUCUAUUAACAAAUUAAAUUCAAAUAAUUAAGUCCAAUAUAACAGAGUGGACAUGCCAUGGAGAGUGGAGUCUGCAGUUAUUUCUCACAGCAAAAGGACUUCUACACACUACUUAUUUGUCUGGGAACAGAAACCUCUCACUGUAAAGUCAGGAUUGGGGGCAGAGAGACAUUCCUGAGAGGCCUGGAGUCCCCAGACCUUUCAGCGAGACCAUCACAGCCUGGAACAGCGUCAGCCAAAAAUAGAGGCAGGAGUGUUCAGACCUGCUAUGUCCUGGUUAGCCCUGUUCAACCCCUACCCACUCCCUGUGACCACUGGGGUGUUCAGAAGCCACCCUACUCUGGAGGUCACCUGGAAAAUGGUGACCCUGCUUGGAGGCAGCUCUAGGCCGACUGAUGUCCUGCUUAGGAGGCAGUUUGGCCUCGUAGUCGAGACGAUAGGUACUGGACUUGAUCAAAUUCCAGCUCCAUCAUUUACCAGUGUGGGACCUUCAGUGGGACCUCAGCCUCCCAGAGCCACUUUCCUUAUCUGUAAGAUGGAGAUAAAAUUAUCAUGAAAACAUACUGCUAAGCUCUGUCCUCAGGAUUAGGAGAUUGUGGAUGGAUUUGUGAUUGUGCAAUGUUUCUUGCUGUUCCUGUAAAUUCUGAAAAGGUCAGAUAUCUACAGAUGCAUGUCACGAAGUUUGCUUCUCUUGUUCAAUCGAAGAAAGAGAUUACACUAGGGAAGCCCUAAAUUUUCUUCUGAGUUGUAUUUUCAUAAAUGUUUAGGGUUCUGAUUUUUUUAAGUUGGAGAUUUGGAAAUUUUUGCCCAAGAUCAGUUCCUUAGCAGCUGUGUCUAGAGAAUGUGACCUAAUGUUUCGUAUUAUGAGCUUAUGUCUAUUCAUAAUGUCUAUACAAAAACUUAUCUUAAACUAGAUUUGACUUGUUAAAAUCUGAGGUCUUUAAUUGCUUAAAAUAUUCACUCAAAGAAUUGAGUUAACUUAAUUACAUGAAACUUUGCUAUGAUUAUUGUAUUGUCCUGAAGCCUUUGUACAUUUUCAAGUUUGCAAGUGAUGUUGUAAAUGUAAUAGUAACAAUAUAUAAAUAUUAUUUAUUACCUAGUAGUAGAGUUAUAAAGUUUAACCCAGAUCAAUUAAAUGAAUUUAUCCAAUGUAUUAUUAUUACUUCUGAUCCUACGACAAUUUAAAAUUGGAUGGGGGUAGGAAAGGUGAGAAGACUGCCUAACAUUGCAUAGAGCUUGAAGUCCACAUCACGUGGAAAAUUCCUUAACAGAUUGAUAUGGGUUGCGUUUUCCAUACCUAAAGCAUUUCACACGGAUGGGUAUAUAAAAUUAAGUUCCCCUUAAUAAACAUUAUUAGCAUCUAUUGUAGUUUCAGCA